AUAAACUGGGGUGUGCAGAGGGGGAACCCCUCGCAGUAUUAAGGGGAGGCUCAGACGUGUAGCGUCGUCGAAGGGGGU
rnacentral:sRNA from 12 species